rnacentral:lncRNA from 1 species
AGGUUUCCAUCAAAUUGACAAGGUAAGGGGGGAAAUCCUUAUCAUUGUGGGUUAGUAUGAUUGGGUUAAUGAGUAGGAACAUGAUUUAGGUUGAAAUCCUUAAUUGGCAUGGUUUUGUAAUUAUUAGGUCUUGAUAAAUACUCUUGAAUUAUGAUGAUUAAAUUAUGCUAAAACUGUGAAUGAAUAUAUAUUUGGAUGAGUCAUAAUUUUCUGAACGUGUAGCUUUUUACAGAAUCGAAAUCAGAGGUCCGGAAGUCCUCC